CUUGGUCAUUUAGAGGAAGUAAAAGUCGUAACAAGGUUUCCGUAGGUGAACCUGCGGAAGGAUCAUUACAGAGUUCAUGCCCUUCGGGGUAGAUCUCCCACCCUUGUGUAUCAUUAUAGAAUGUUGCUUUGGCGGGCUGCGUGCCUAGCAUGCCUCGAUUCGCGUCGAGCGCGCCCGCCAGAGGACCCCUAAACUCUGAAUGUUAGUGUCGUCUGAGUACUAUUAAAUAGUUAAAACUUUCAACAACGGAUCUCUUGGUUCUGGCAUCGAUGAAGAACGCAGCGAAAUGCGAUAAGUAAUGUGAAUUGCAGAAUUCAGUGAAUCAUCGAAUCUUUGAACGCACAUUGCGCCCCUUGGUAUUCCGGGGGGCAUGCCUGUUCGAGCGUCAUUUAUACCAAUCUAGCCUGGCUAGGUGUUGGGCUUCGCCAGCUGGCGGGCCUUAAAACUAGUGGCGGUGCUCUUCAGCUCUACGCGUAAUAAUUUUCUCGCUAUAGGGUCUGGGGAGAUGCUGGCCAGCAACCCCAAAUUUUUCUAGGUUGACCUCGGAUCAGGUAGGGAUACCCGCUGAACUUAAGCAUAUCAAUAAGCGGAGGAAAAGAAACCAACAGGGAUUACCUCAGUAACGGCGAGUGAAGCGGUAACAGCUCAAAUUUGAAAUCUGGCUCUUUUAGGGUCCGAGUUGUAAUUUGUAGAAGAUGCUUUGGGUGUGGCCCUGGUCUAAGUUCCUUGGAACAGGACGUCAUARAGGGUGARAAUCCCGUAUGUGACUAGGUGCCUUCGCCCGUGUAAAGCUCUUUCGACGAGUCGAGUUGUUUGGGAAUGCAGCUCAAAAUGGGUGGUAAAUUUCAUCUAAAGCUAAAUAUUGGCCAGAGACCGAUAGCGCACAAGUAGAGUGAUCGAAAGAUGAAAAGCACUUUGGAAAGAGAGUUAAACAGUACGUGAAAUUGUUGAAAGGGAAGCGCUUGCAACCAGACUUAGUUGCUGCCGAUCAUCUAGGGUUCUCCCUGGUGCACUCGGUAGUAUCUAGGCCAGCAUCGGUUUGGGUGGUGGGAUAAAGGCCUUGGGAAUGUAGCUUCUUUCGGGGAGUGUUAUAGCCCUCGGUGCAAUGCCGCCUACCCGGACCGAGGACCGCGCUUCGGCUAGGAUGCUGGCGUAAUGGUUGUAAGCGACCCGUCUUGAAACACGGACC
rnacentral:rRNA from 1 species